GUGUGUUCUUCCGAUGUUCUUAAUUCUCUUUUGGAUAGCAUUGCCAUUGUCUUCAUAUUCAAUACAUGUCAUCUUCUUUUUUAUUGGUAGUGUGUCAUGUGCAAUUGAGUUACUGGUGGUAGCAUAGA